UACGUAGGGGGCAAGCGUUGUCCGGAUUUAUUGGGCGUAAAGGGCACGCAGGCGGUCUUUUAAGUCAGCAGUGACAGGUGGGGGCUCAACUCCCACAGGACUGGUGAAACUGGAAGACUUGAGGACGAGAGAGGGAUGGGGAAUUCCAGGUGGAGCGGUGAAAUGCGUAGAGAUCUGGAAGAACACCAAAGGCGAAGGCAGCAUCCUGGCUCACUCCUGACGCUCAUGUGCGAAAGCUAGGGGAGCGAACGGG
rnacentral:rRNA from 1 species